rnacentral:rRNA from 1 species
CUGGGAGGACCAUCUCCUAAGGCUAAAUACUCUCUAGUGACCGAUAGUGAACCAGUACCGUGAGGGAAAGGUGAAAAGCACCCCGGAAGGGGAGUGAAAUAGAACCUGAAACCGUGUGCUUACAAGUAGUCAGAGCCCGUUAAUGGGUGAUGGCGUGCCUUUUGUAGAAUGAACCGGCGAGUUACGAUUUGAUGCAAGGUUAAGCAGUAAAUGUGGAGCCGUAGCGAAAGCGAGUCUGAAUAGGGCGUUUAGUAUUUGGUCGUAGACCCGAAACCAGGUGAUCUACCCUUGGUCAGGUUGAAGUUCAGGUAACACUGAAUGGAGGACCGAACCGACUUACGUUGAAAAGUGAGCGGAUGAACUGAGGGUAGCGGAGAAAUUCCAAUCGAACCUGGAGAUAGCUGGUUCUCUCCGAAAUAGCUUUAGGGCUAGCCUCAAGUGAUGAUUAUUGGAGGUAGAGCACUGUUUGGACGAGGGGCCCCUCUCGGGUUACCGAAUUCAGACAAACUCCGAAUGCCAAUUAAUUUAACUUGGGAGUCAGAACAUGGGUGAUAAGGUCCGUGUUCGAAAGGGAAACAGCCCAGACCACCAGCUAAGGUCCCAAAAUAUAUGUUAAGUGGAAAAGGAUGUGGCGUUGCCCAGACAACUAGGAUGUUGGCUUAGAAGCAGCCAUCAUUUAAAGAGUGCGUAAUAGCUCACUAGUCGAGUGACACUGCGCCGAAAAUGUACCGGGGCUAAACAUAUUACCGAAGCUGUGGAUUGUCCUUUGGACAAUGGUAGGAGAGCGUUCUAAGGGCGUUGAAGCAUGAUCGUAAGGACAUGUGGAGCGCUUAGAAGUGAGAAUGCCGGUGUGAGUAGCGAAAGACGGGUGAGAAUCCCGUCCACCGAUUGACUAAGGUUUCCAGAGGAAGGCUCGUCCGCUCUGGGUUAGUCGGGUCCUAAGCUGAGGCCGACAGGCGUAGGCGAUGGAUAACAGGUUGAUAUUCCUGUACCACCUAUAAUCGUUUU